GCCACGUUUACCAGCCGGAGCCUCAAAUCAUGUCCCUUUGUGGUGAUAAAGAGGACACAGCCUGGUGUGAAGCUACAUUUAUUACGGAAGGAUGCCAGCCGGGAUCCGAACACGUCCGAUAUCAUCCAAGAGAAUGUGGUAGCUGAAGGGGGAGAGGCCAAGGGUGAAGACAUUUAGCCACCCCCCCUGAAGUACAUGCCAGCAUUCAACCCUCUUGGUGAGCUGCAGGAAUGUGCUCCCCAUUGCAGUGCACCAGCUCCAUGUACUGAUUUUGGGUGUGAACAUGAUGGGGUUGGAGGAAACUCGACUCGGCCAUCAAGCUCACCUCUUGUUCUCAGUGAUAAUUUAUCCUCUUUAGUUACUAUUCCAUGUUGCUUUAAUCACAACUAAUGUGUUGGAAACAUUACAGCUUAAUAACAUACCUCACACCUCUGCAUACAAAUUGAGUUCAAUAUUUAACUGUUACACCAGUAGGCUUCAUAUCUUAAAAAAAAGGUAUGUAAAAAGGUUGACAUUUUGAAUGAUAUAUUUAAACUCUUUAAUAUGUUUCAAUGGCUGUAGUUGCGUUACGAUUAGUCGAGUUAUCAGCAUAUGGGUCUUAUGUUUUUGAUAGCAUAGGUUCAAAUUUUGCCAUAGGCUGGCAAUUGAUAGUAACAGUAGUGUCCACAGAUACCUGCCUGUUUCUUGUUUAUCCUGUUCCACUUUAAACCAUGAUUGGCCAAUCUUUGAAGAGGUAGCAUAACCUUGAAGUGCCACUAACAAACCUCUGUCCAUUCUUCUGAUGUGAUGAUGCUGGUAGGUUUUCUUCAGGGGCCAUGGCGGUCUGCCCAGGCCCGUCAUGAUGCAGGCAAUUUUUUUUAUAGUGGUGCCAUUUAGUAUUGGCUCAUGCUGCCACCCAGAACUCAUUUUUGAUUCACUUGGAUGGUUUAGCAGGGCUUAGGUAUGACUAACAUUGCAGAAACAGGGAAUUUUUAGAUUUUUAGUGUGGCAACACAUUGACAAAUGUUUUAGUAUGGACUGAACAUCAAAGAUAUAUAUGGUAAAUGGGUGCUUGUAGAUCUUGACAUUAUAUCUGUCAAGAGUCUCCAGUUGUAUCCUCUCCCCCAUCUCUCCUGAAAAUAUUACUCUUGUCAGGCAAUCUAAGUGCACCCUUCCAUCGAAGCUGGCGUGCAGACAUAAUGUCAAUGCUUAGAUUCACUGUCCUUAUAGCACUGAAAAUAAUGCAAUUGCAUGCACAUAUUUUAUUAUUUAGAAUUGUGAUUAAUUGUGAUUAAGUAUUUUUUCAUGUAUUUUCAGACAUGAAAAGUGAAAAUUGCUGCACACAACAGUCUACCGUCUGCACCGGGAGGCAAGGCAGCUCAAAGCCCAGGCUGUUACAACUCCUGGGCAGUUUUUGCCCAGAGCCAGCAAUUUUUUAGAUCCAAUAGGGAUGGAUUUUUUCUGAGGUCAGGUUCAACAUGCUGCAAGAUGCCAAGAUCUAAGCCUAGUAGGAGAUAUGGGUUACAAGAGAGGAGGUUUGCUCUGGCCUUAUACUAUCAAAGUCCAAAUACUAAUAGAUUUCUGAGCACAGUAUUUCACCUGCCUUCAGUUUCAACACUUCACCCAUGACUCAGGGGUAUUUCAGUACAUGUUGGCUGGAGCAAACAGACUCUGACAGCCCUGCAGCAAAGAGCACAGGCUUUGUCAAAAGAAGAGAAACUUCGUGGGAUUUGCCAUUAUUUAGUAUUACUCUUGUUACGCCAAGAAUUUUUUUCCAUAUACUUUGCCAAAUAUUGCAAGUAAUGCACCAUUGUUGGUCUUGCCUGUUAUAAAUCAGAUCUUGUUCAAUUAACAAGCUUUGGGUGUCUGCCACUUUCCAGUUGUAAUGCAAGGAACCAUUUAUCUUCCCUGCUAGAUAUCACAUGUAAUGCAUCAUUGUUGGUUUUGCCUGUUAUAAGUCAGAUCUUGUUCAGUUAACAAGCUUUAGGUGUCUGCCACUUUCCAAUUGUAAUGCAAGGAAUCCCCUGCCAGAUAUCGCAUGUAAUGCACCAUUGUUGGUUUUGCCUGUUAUAAAUCAGAUCUUGUUCAGCUCACAAGCUUUGAAUAUCUGCCAUUGUUUAUUUCAGGUGUAAUGCUUGGAAGCAUUUGUUCUCUUCCCUACCCAACAGUAUGCAAUGCUUUAUUGUGGAUUUUGCCUGUUACAUUUAAUCUUGUUCAGGUAACAAGCUUUUGGUGUCUGCCUUACCUAAUAAUAUGCUGCAGUGACACUUGGCAUGGUUUCAUAAUGUGAAAUACAGCAUGUAAUUUCAUCACACUAAGUGUCUAUCAUCACGUGUCUGGCAUCAUUAAUGUGGCUUCCUGGAGUAAUCUUGUUUGUAUUACAGCAUGCAAUGUUUUUUUCUGCUUUAUAUGAUAUACAUCAUCACAUUGGUAUGAUUUACAAAAUGUAAUGGCAGUUGAUAUUCUUGACUAAUGCCUCAUAAACCUUGU